UACGGGUGAAAGCAGGGGACCUUCGGGCCUUGCGCGAUUGAAUGAGCCGAUGUCGGAUUAGCUAGUUGGCGGGGUAAAGGCCCGCCAAGGCGACGAUCCGUAGCUGGUCUGAGAGGAUGAUCAGCCACACUGGAACUGAGACACGGUCCAGACUCCUACGGGAGGCAGCAGUGGGGAAUAUUGGACAAUGGGCGCAAGCCUGAUCCAGCCAUACCGCGUGGGUGAAGAAGGCCUUCGGGUUGUAAAGCCCUUUUGUUGGGAAAGAAAUCCAGCUGGCUAAUACCCGGUUGGGAUGACGGUACCCAAAGAAUAAGCACCGGCUAACUUCGUGCCAGCAGCCGCGGUAAUACGAAGGGUGCAAGCGUUACUCGGAAUUACUGGGCGUAAAGCGUGCGUAGGUGGUCGUUUAAGUCCGUUGUGAAAGCCCUGGGCUCAACCUGGGAACUGCAGUGGAUACUGGGCGACUAGAAUGUGGUAGAGGGUAGCGGAAUUCCUGGUGUAGCAGUGAAAUGCGUAGAGAUCAGGAGGAACAUCCAUGGCGAAGGCAGCUACCUGGACCAACAUUGACACUGAGGCACGA
rnacentral:rRNA from 1 species